UACGGAGGUGGCAAGCGUUGUUCGGAAUUACUGGGCGUAAAGGGCGCGUAGGCGGCAAGGCAAGUCAGGUGUGAAAGCCCCGAGCUUAACUCGGGAAUUGCAUCUGAAACUGCUGUGCUUGAGUUCUGGAGGGGGUAGUGGAAUUCCCAGUGUAGCGGUGAAAUGCGCAGAUAUCGGGAGGAACACCAGUAGCGAAGGCGACACUCUGGGCCGGUACUGACGCUGAGGAGCGAAAGCGUGGGGAGCAAACAGG
rnacentral:rRNA from 1 species